GUUUUGGAACCAUUCGAAACAACACAGCUAGUUAAA
rnacentral:other from 1 species